rnacentral:rRNA from 2 species
GGUGUUGUGCGGCGUGCUAAUACAUGCAAGUCGAACGAGUUCUCGUUGAUGAUCGGUGCUUGCACCGAGAUUCAACAUGGAACGAGUGGCGGACGGGUGAGUAACACGUGGGUAACCUGCCCUUAAGUGGGGGAUAACAUUUGGAAACAGAUGCUAAUACCGCAUAGAUCCAAGAACCGCAUGGUUCUUGGCUGAAAGAUGGCGUAAGCUAUCGCUUUUGGAUGGACCCGCGGCGUAUUAGCUAGUUGGUGAGGUAAUGGCUCACCAAGGCGAUGAUACGUAGCCGAACUGAGAGGUUGAUCGGCCACAUGCCACAUGGACUGAGAACCCGCCCAACUCCUACGGAGCAGCAGUAAGGAUCUUCCCAUGACGCCAAGUCUGAUGAAGCAACGCCGCGUGAGUGAGAGGCCUUCCGGUCGUAAAACUCUGUUGUUGAGAAGAAUGUCGGCAGAGUACUGUUUUCGGCGUGACGGUAUCCAACCAGAAAGCCACGGCUAACUACGUGCCAGCAGCCGCGGUAAUACGUAGGUGGCAAGCGUUAUCCGGAUUUAUUGGGCGUAAAGCGAGCGCAGGCGGUUUUUUAAGUCUGAUGUGAAAGCCCUCGGCUUAACCGAGAGAGCGCAUCGGAAACUGGGAAACUUGAGUGCAGAAGAGGACAGUGGAACUCCAUGUGUAGCGGUGAAAUGCGUAGAUAUAUGGAAGAACACCAGUGGCGAAGGCGGCUGUCUGGUCUGUAACUGACGCUGAGGCUCGAAAGCAUGGGUAGCGAACAGGAUUAGAUACCCUGGUAGUCCAUGCCGUAAACGAUGAAUGCUAGGUGUUGGAGGGUUUCCGCCCUUCAGUGCCGCAGCUAACGCAUUAAGCAUUCCGCCUGGGGAGUACGACCGCAAGGUUGAAACUCAAAGGAAUUGACGGGGGCCCGCACAAGCGGUGGAGCAUGUGGUUUAAUUCGAAGCAACGCGAAGAACCUUACCAGGUCUUGACAUCUUUUGAUCACCUGAGAGAUCAGGUUUCCCCUUCGGGGGCAAAAUGACAGGUGGUGCAUGGUUGUCGUCAGCUCGUGUCGUGAGAUGUUGGGUUAAGUCCCGCAACGAGCGCAACCCUUAUGACUAGUUGCCAGCAUUUAGUUGGGCACUCUAGUAAGACUGCCGGUGACAAACCGGAGGAAGGUGGGGAUGACGUCAAAUCAUCAUGCCCCUUAUGACCUGGGCUACACACGUGCUACAAUGGAUGGUACAACGAGUUGCGAGACCGCGAGGUCAAGCUAAUCUCUUAAAGCCAUUCUCAGUUCGGACUGUAGGCUGCAACUCGCCUACACGAAGUCGGAAUCGCUAGUAAUCGCGGAUCAGCACGCCGCGGUGAAUACGUUCCCGGGCCUUGUACACACCGCCCGUCACACCAUGAGAGUUUGUAACACCCGAAGCCGGUGGCGUAACCCUUUUAGGGAGCGAGCCGUCUAAGGUGGGACAAAUGAUUAGGGUGAAGUCGUAACAAGAGCCUAGCCA